CCUAACACAUGCAAGUCGAACGGUAACAGGAAACAGCUUGCUGUUUCGCUGACGAGUGGCGGACGGGUGAGUAAUGUCUGGGAAACUGCCUGAUGGAGGGGGAUAACUACUGGAAACGGUAGCUAAUACCGCAUAACGUCGCAAGACCAAAGAGGGGGACCCUCGGGCCUCUUGCCAUCGGAUGCGCCCAGAUGGGAUUAGCUUGUUGGUGGGGUAACGGCUCACCAAGGCGACGAUCCCUAGCUGGUCUGAGAGGAUGACCAGCCACACUGGAACUGAGACACGGUCCAGACUCCUACGGGAGGCAGCAGUGGGGAAUAUUGCACAAUGGGCGCAAGCCUGAUGCAGCCAUGCCGCGUGUAUGAAGAAGGCCUUCG
rnacentral:rRNA from 1 species